GAUGAAGAACGUAGUGAAAUGCGAUACGUAAUGUGAAUUGCAGAUUUCAGUGAAUCAUCGAAUCUUUGAACGCACAUUGCGCCCGCCAGUAUUCUGGCGGGCAUGCCUGUUCGAGCGUCAUUACAACCCUCAGGCCCCCGGGCCUGGCGUUGGGGAUCGGCGGAGCCCCCCGUGGGCACACGCCGUCCCCCAAAUACAGUGGCGGUCCCGCCGCAGCUUCCAUCGCGUAGUAGCUAACACCUCGCGACUGGAGAGCGGCGCGGCCACGCCGUAAAACACCCAACUCUUCUGAAGUUGACCUCGAAUCAGGUAGGAAUACCCGCUGAACUUAAGCAUAUCAAUAAGCGGAGGA
rnacentral:misc_RNA from 1 species